UUACAUUACCUGACAGAGGAGACACCUUAAUCAGAAAGGCAGUUUUCCCAGGACGAGGCUCAUCCCUUGCACUGUAAGUGAGCUGACCCCUGCGAUUUACCCAUAUGCGGGAAACUUGACUGUCUAAUUUGGUAAAGGAAUCAGAAUUUGUUUUAUA